GACGAACGCUGGCGGCGUGCUUAACACAUGCAAGUCGAACGGUAAGGCCCUUCGGGGUACACGAGUGGCGAACGGGUGAGUAACACGUGGGUGAUCUGCCCUGCACUUCGGGAUAAGCCUGGGAAACUGGGUCUAAUACCGGAUAGGACCACUGCCUGCAUGGGUGGUGGUGGAAAGCUUUUGCGGUGUGGGAUGGGCCCGCGGCCUAUCAGCUUGUUGGUGGGGUAAUGGCCUACCAAGGCGACGACGGGUAGCCGGCCUGAGAGGGUGACCGGUCACAAUGGGACUGAGAUACGGCCCAGACUCCUACGGGAGGCAGCAGUGGGGAAUAUUGCACAAUGGGCGCAAGCCUGAUGCAGCGACGCCGCGUGAGGGAUGACGGCCUUCGGGUUGUAAACCUCUUUCAGCUAUGACGAAGCGCAAGUGACGGUAGUAGCAGAAGAAGGACCGGCCAACUACGUGCCAGCAGCCGCGGUAA
rnacentral:rRNA from 1 species